AUUGAACGCUGGCGGCAUGCUUUACACAUGCAAGUCGAACGGGGUGAAGGGGCAACUCUUCAUUCAGUGGCGAACGGGUGAGUAAUGCAUCGGAACGUACCUCGUAGUGGGGGAUAACUCGGCGAAAGCCGUGCUAAUACCGCAUAUGCUCUACGGAGGAAAGCAGGGGACCUGAGAGGGCCUUGUGCUAUGGGAGCGGCCGAUGUCCGAUUAGCUAGUUGGGGGUAAUGGCCUACCAAGGCGACGAUCGGUAGCUGGUCUGAGAGGAUGAUCAGCCACACUGGGACUGAGACACGGCCCAGACUCCUACGGGAGG
rnacentral:rRNA from 1 species